rnacentral:rRNA from 1 species
UGAGAGGAUGAUCCGCCACACUGGAACUGGAACACGGACCAGACUCCUACGGGAGGCAGCAGUGAGGAAUAUUGCGCAAUGGGNNAAACCCUGAGCAGCGACGCCGCGUGGAUGAUGAAGGCUUUCGGGNNGUAAAAUCCUGUCAGAUGG